GUUCACCAUUUUAAUAUAGAUUAAAAUGAAUUAGUGUAUUUUUAAGUUUAUAAAUUCCCAGUGCAUAGAGUUUUGUUUAAAAAAAAAAAGUAAUAUAAUAAAUACUGCACCGAGACUUUGAAUGCCCAGAGUUCAUAAUUACCUCAAAGAAUUUUUUAUCAGCUACACAGCCUGGCUUUGAGUAUAAAAAUGAGAAAUUUUCUUCUGGUAGUUAUAGCUGAAUAGCCCUGGUGAGUUUCCAUACAAGUGGAGUGGGGACCUUAAUCAAAAUUUCAUGGGAAAUAAUACCACUUUGAAUAAUUCAGCUGUUACUUUCUUUGACUAAACUGAGCUCUAACAGCCCAGGACAUCACAGAUGAGAUGCAUUUUCUCUAGCUCCCUACCAUUCUUACCUUUACUGGCUUUUUCUAUGCAAAUAAAGCAGAGCUAUCCUAGGAAAUCAAGAUAUCAUUACAUUUAUUGUCUUUUCUCUCAUCACUGUUUUUCCCUAUUAAAGUUAUAUGUUAGUUCUUUAAAAAUAGCCUCAGGGACCCCUGUGUUUUUUCUCUAAGCCAUACCAAUCUAAAAUAAACUAACAAAAUCACACAUACAAAAGAAGGAGAAGGAGAUGAUGAGAUGACGACGAUGACGACGAAGAAGAAAGCCCAAAACAGGUUAUUUAAAGAUGCAAUUCAACAAGGCCAGAAAUGAGGUCUUGAUCUCCUGGGAUAGCACACAUCUGCUAGUAGGCUGCCCGUUUGCUUUUCUUUGCCCAAUGGAACAUUUGGUAUAGGUGAUUAAUGAGAGAUCAACGGAGAAACAAAGUGACAUACUUCCCAAAUUGAAGACUUCAGCUUACAGGAGUCCCUGUGGAAAUCUUGAGGUCAUCUUCUAAGGAAACAAAGGAGUAUUGAACAUGAAGAAGGAGAAUUGCCUGAAAAAAAUCAAUCUUGAACAGCUCUUCUCGGUUAUUUCUGUUCUGAUGGUGUGUUAACUCAUAACAUGAGGACAAAACCAAAAAGCAACCAACCUGAAUUAAGCAAACCCCAAUUUCUUAAAAGCACUCAAAGACGUAUUAUUGAUAACAAAUUGAAAGUACAGUUCCUCCUUUGCUAAAAAUUAUGUUCUUUGUUACUAUCCACAUGGAGAGCUUGCCAUAUGCCUGGUUCCCAAGAUGUAUUAGCAGAGAUAAAGACACUGAUUUGUGAGGAAAAUGAGGAAUCUGGCCAAUGUCACCCGGUAACUUUAUCAAUAGGGAAAGAAAGCAAGCAAAAUACAGCUCCCCUUCAAACUCUUGGCAGAUAAACAAACAUAAAUACCAAUGUAUAGAGUAUGCUUGUAUGUAUGAUCUUUAACCAAAAUAUAUAUUUAUAGGUGAGGCUUAUUGUCUUAUUUAUAGAUUUAUGUGCAAUUUUUGUAUUUUUUAAAGAAAUAUGCAGAAUCCAAGUAUUUCUGGAUUUUAGGAUUUCCUGAGCAUUUAUGUUAUUUGUAAAACUUGAUUCUAGAAAUAUUUUCUCCAGAAACCUCUCUAUUGACAUAAUAUUAUUGGAACAUAUGAUAGUAACUACACUUAACAACCUGCAUAUGAACAGUGAAGUUCCUAUGUCAAACAGUUCAAAAUCAAACAGUUAAGUUCCUAUAUCUUAUAGGUCACAAUAUUUGGCACCAAAGUUAUAACAAAAUAAUAGACAUGGACUUACCCCCAAAGUUCUUACACUUUCCUAGGUGAAGUGGCAUUUAUUUAUAUUCUUGAAGAAUUCCAUGCCCCCUUCCCCCCCCCAAAAAAAAAGAGGAGUUCCCAUCGUGGCUCAGUGGAAAUGAAUCUGACUAGCAUCCAUGAGGACGCAGGUUCCAUGCCUGGCCUAGUCUCCCUCAGUGUGGCUAAGGGUCUGGAGUUGCUUUGAGCUGUGGUGUAGGUUGCAGAGGCAUCUUGGAUCUGGCAUCGCUGUGGCUGUGGCUGGUGGCUGCAGUUCGGGUUCAGAUUCGACCCCUAGCCUGGGAAACUCCAUAUGCAGCAGUGCCCUAAAAAACAAACUAACAACAAUAAAAAAAAAAAACACUGGAAUUCCAUGCCCAAAUGCACAGUAAUGUGAAGCACUCUCAGUUUAUGAUAAGGUAUAAAUUCCUACCUGUAGAACAAAAAACAACUGGUUAGCACACAUUGUCAAAUGAGCAACAUGGAAAAUAAAAGCAAAACUGAAAUUGAAAAUAAAUCUACACACAACUUUUAUAAAAAGCCUCAUGGUACAAACAUGAAGGAUUUUAAAGUUUCAAGAAGUGAACUUUUAUAAAAUCUGGAGGCAGGGUUUGAGUCCCAUCUCUGACACACAUUGUCUGAGUUCUAAAGACGGUAUACAAGCCCUACCAUUGUUUCACAAUGGAGUUGUUAUUGGCAUUUGGAGCAGGAUAAUUCUUCUUUGUUGUGUCUGCCUGAAAAUUUGUAGCGUAUUUACCAUCCUUUGCUACUGACAUCAAAGGUUAUUAUGACCUCCCAUUUUCUUUCUUUCUUUUUUUUUUUUUUUUGUCUUUUUAGGGCCACACCUGCAACCUGCAGCAUAUGGAGGUUCCCAGGCUAAGGGCCCAAUCAGAACUGUAGUCACUGGCUUACACCAAGCCACAGCAAUGCCAGAUCUGAGCCGCAUCUGUGGCCUACACCAUAACUCAGGGCGAUGCCAGAUCCUUAACCCACUGAGCAAGGUCAAGGAUCGAACCUAUGUCCUCAUGGGUUCUAGUCAGAUUCGCUCCCGCUGGGCCACCACAGGAACUCCUGACCUCCCAUUUUCUUGACACAAACCCUCCCCGCCUCAACCCUCACACUUUGCAAAAAAAUUGAAUAGAAGUUAGUGAUGGGGUGGGUGCUGUCACCUUUGUUGAGUACCUCUAUUUUUAACCAUCAUGAACCUGUUAUUCCCUCAUUUGUAAAUAGGACUUUUUGUUCACAAAUUAAUUUUUCCCUUUGUUCUGAAUUUCUCAAAUUCCCUACAGAUUACAACAUAAAGUAAAAUCAUAAAGAUAACUUUUAGAAUCUUUGUGGGGAUGUUAAUCUUUUUUUUUAUCUUGCCUCACAAGUAUGACCACUAUAUGGGCAUUGGAGAAGGAAGCAAUGAGCAGCUAGAAACAAAGUAUAUGGCAGGAUAAGAAAAAAAAAUGUUACCUCCGGAGUUCCCAUCAUUGCUCAGUGGUUAACGAAUCUGACUAGGAACCAUGAGCUUGCAGGUUUGAUCCCUGGCCUUGCUCAGUGGGCCUUGGUCAGCGUGGCCGUGAGCUGUGGUGUAGGUUGCAGACGCAGCUCGGAUCCCACGUUGCUGUGGCUCUGGCGUAGGCUGGCGGCUAUAGCUCCUAUUCGACCCUUAGCCUGAGAACCUCUUUAUGCCGUGGGAGCAGCCCUAGAAAUGGCAAAAGGACAAAAAACAAAACAAAACAAAUGUAACCUCCCAUGUAAUGUUCAUUUCUCAAAAUACUUAUUAUCCUUCAAAGCCCAAUAUGAAUGUCAAGUCUGAAAAUAUUUCAUUUCAUCUUCUGUUUUUUUCCUUCCUCUCUUAGUAUACUCAUACUGUGCUUGUGCCAUGAAACUUGAAGUAGCAAUAAAUUCAUUGCCUCAUACAGCAACUGAGCUCAAUAAAACUAGGUGAAUUUUAAUGAGAUAAAUACUAAAUCUUACCACUAAAAAAUUAAGUGCAGAAUAACUUAAGUAUUGAUCUGCUCCAUAUAUCAAAAAGACUAUAGAAGAUUCUCAAAAAUUCUAUAAGCUGCAACAGCCCAAAGAAACUAAAUGUGACUAUGUAUGUGUGUUGAAAUACAAAAGGACCAGAGAAGUAUUCUGGAGAUUUCAAGAAGAUAAGGUUCUUCUUUCAAAAAUCAGAAGGUCAAUUUCUAACCCACCAUUUAUUUUUUAAGAGGAUCCUGCUAUACCCCUCCCCUGUUGCCCUGUGGGCUUUUUGCUCUGCCUCAAGUUUUUCAUGUACCAAUGGAAAUAGAAAGACAGGGACUGCUAAGAACAAAAUUUUAAAUAACCUUUUUCUUUCUCUUUCUCUCUCUCUCUCACACAGUAGGCUUUAUCAAUUUAUAUCCACUUUCUUUUGUGAAAUUUAAUUUAGUCAUUUUCCAAGACAUCCUCAUUCAUUUUGUGAUUGAGCUCCAUCUUUCUAAAUGGAAAGAGGGUUGGGUUGAAUAUAUAGAGGGAGGUGACCUUUACCCAAUGAUGGGAUUGUGCGAGAGAUUUAUGAUUGUAAAAGGAUUCCUGUCUACACAGAUGGCAAAUCCCAGCAUUUCUAGUCUCUGCCACUGCCUCAUUUCCUUCUGCCACAUUGCUCUGCUGCAAUGUUCAAUCAUUGUCUCCUUUGGUAUGUUUCAAUUGACAGGAACAUUUACAAAUGAAAUCCUUACUAAAGCUGAUGACAUCUCUGGUGUCUAGGAACAGAAGGGAGAAUCCAUCUGUUGGCAGGAAGAGAAAAAAGAAGGUACACAAGGUACUGAAAUGUUUGAGUUGAAGUGCUAAUGGUAAAUGUCUGAGUGUGUGCUCCGUAUUAUUGCAUGCAAAAAUUGCAUUUAAAAUGAACUUAGAGAUGACACUUUAAAUACUCAGUCCCCCCCCCAGCCAAACAAAACCAUUUUUUAAAAAUACAAACUAUACUAAUAAUGUGAAUGACAUGUUGGAAAAAUUAAGCUAGGUAUGCAGUGCUCUUUAAAAUGAUCACUGUCAUUUAAUCUGUUUCCACCAACAUUUUAGGUUCCCUGAUGCAGAGAGAAAUACAUAAUGAGAUAUGCUCAUUAAUGUGGAGUCUUAGGAUAUUUCUCUUUAUAGUUUAGGUGCUUUUAAAGAUACUGAUUUUUGUCUUAGGAGAAAACUGUGUGUAAAAUACCCCUCAAAAACCUGACUGAAUCAGCAGAAUAACAUAACCUGUCUGGCUUCCAUGUAUCAGAAAUUCCUUACUACCUAAAAAAAAAAAAAAAGGGCUAUUGUGAACAGCCUGGGUUGGAUCACUUUAAUGAUGUGUUACAAAAUAUAGCUGAGCUGCUGUAAACAAUCUCUCCUUUGUUUAAAAGAACGAAAAAGACAUAGAACAAGAAUGGGUAAAAAUGCUUCCUGUUGCAAAGCUUUCACUCUUAAAAACAAUUUCUAGACUUCUCACAACAUUCCUCUUUGACUAGCCACCAGCAAGCACACCCCCCAGGGAAGGGUAUGUAUAUGAGUGUAUGCACACACACUUCCCUCUCCUCAAAAAAUCUGCUGAACACUUACUAUAUUUCACUGUGUGCCCAAAAAAUUAAUCCUUCAAAACUCUUUUAAAUUCUUUUAAGUCUGAAAAAGCACAACUGGCCUAGACUUAUAUGAUGGAAACCUUUGCCUGGUGGAGUUUGAUGUACUGAAAAUGGACUCCUGGUUCCUUAGUUUACCAGCUAUUUUGGGAAAACCAUUCAUCAGCGUAAAUAAAACCUAUUACAUCGAUUUAAUGGGAUUCACAUAAAUGAACCUGUAUUUGGUCCAUUGCAGUAGGUCAAAAAUUUAUCUCAUCAUUUCUUUACAUCUUCUUUAAUUUCCUUGAUUAAUGUUUUAUAGUUCUCAGCAUAUGUCUUUCACCUCUUUGGUCAGGUGUAUUCCUAGGUAUUUGAUAUUUGGGGGUGCAAUUUUCAAAUGUAUUUUUGUAUUCCUUUUCUAAUAUUUCUUUGUUAGUGCACAGAAAUGUGACUGAUUUCUGAAUGUUAAUCUUAUAUCCUGCUACUUAUUGAAUUUGUUGAUCAGUUCAAGCAGUUUUUGGGUUGAGUCCUUAGGGUUUUCUAUAUAUAGUAUCAUGUCAUCUGCAUACAGUGACAGUUUUACCUCUCCUCUUCCUAUUUGGAUGCCUUUUAUUUCUUUCGCUUGUCUGAUUGCUGUGGCUAGGACUUCCAGUACUACGUUGAAUUAACAGUGGUGAGAGUGGGUAUCCUUGUCUUGUUCCAGAUUUUAGUGGGCAGGCUUUCAUCUUUUAUCCAUUGAGUAUUGGAAUCGUUUGACUAAAUUUUUUGUUGGAAUCAUUUGGCUAAAUUUUUUAAAUUGCUUGGCUAAAUCGUUUGGCUAAAUUUUUUGUUGGAAUCGUUUGGCUAAAUUUAUUUUGAGAAUUUUUGCAUCUAUAUUCAUCAAAGAUUUGGCCUAUAGUUUUCUUUUCUGGUGAUAUCUUUGUCUAGUUUUGGAAUUAAGGUGAUGGUGGCAUCAUAGAAUAUCUUUGGGAGUGUUCCUUCUUCUUCAACAUUUUGAGAAAUUUUAAGGAGGGUGGGUAUAAUUUCUUCUUGGUAUAUUUGAUAGAAUUCACCUGUGAAGCCAUCUGGUCCUAGACUUCUGUUUGUAGGGAGUAUAUUUAUGACAUAUUCAAUUUCAUUUCUAGUGAUCAUUCUGUUCAGUUGAUCUAUUUCUUCUUGAUUCAGUUUUGGCAGGCUGUAAGUCUCUAGAAAGUUGUCCAUUUCUUCUAGGUUGUCAAAUUUGUUAGCAUACAAUUAGAAUAUAUAUAUAUAUAUAUAUAUAUAUAUAUAUAUAUAUACUAUAUAUAGUAUAUAUAUACUAUAUUUGUAUAUAUAGAAUACAAAUAGUAUUCUGUCAUGUUUUUUUGUAUUUCUGUAGUAUCUAUUGUGACUUCUACUUCCUUGAAAAAGACGCAUGUACCCACAUGUUCAUUGUAGCUCUAUUCACGAUAGCCAAGACAGGGAAACAACCCAAAUGUCCAUCAUUUGGAUUAGGAAGACGUGGUAUAUAUACACAAUGGAAUACUACUCAGCCAUAAAAAAGGACAAAAUAAUGCCAUUUGCAACAACAGGGAUGCAACCAGAGACUCUCAUACUGAGUGAAGUGAGUCAGAAGGAGAAAGAAAAUACCAUAUAAUAUCACUUAUAUCUGGAAUCUAAUAUAUGACACAAAGGAACCUUUCCACAGAAAAGAAAAUCAUGAACUUGAGGAAUAGACUUGUGGUUGCCAAGGGGAAGGGGGAGGGAGAAGAAUCGAUUGGGAGCUUGGGGUUAAUAAAUGCAAACUAUUGCCUUUGGAAAGGAUGGGCAAUGAGAUCCUGCUAUACAGCACUGCUAACUAUGUCUAGUCACUUAUGAGGGAGCCUGAUAAUGUGAGGAAAAAAGAAUGUAUACAUGUAUGUGUAACUGGAUCACCAUGGUGUACGGUAGAAAAUUGACAGAACACUGUAAACCAGCUAUAAUGGAAAAAAAUAAAAAUCAUUA
rnacentral:lncRNA from 1 species